UGCCGCUGGGCGCAGCGGGAGACCGGCGCGUGGCGGCGUCGCUCCGGCGCAGCGCUGUGGCGAGGACCGCAGGACACAUGUGAAGGUGACACGUGGUCCGGCUCCUUCCGGGACUACAGGCAGUAUGACGGCCCAGAAAUGAGCCGCUUUCUGAGGUGACUGGAGGGAGGGAGAGAGCCCGGGUGUCUGUCGGAGUGGGGACAAGUGUGGAGGACACGGCACAGGGACUGUUCACAAACCCUCUGUGGAACCAGGGGCAGAAGUGUCAUCAGUGUGAAUUUUGGAUGAGUCCGGAGGCCCCGAAAGGCACUGAGGGAAAGCUUUGCUCAGACCAGCCGUGGCCUCCGUUCUGUGGCUGCAUAGGGUACAGCCUUCCCCUUAAGAAGCUGGACGUGGACACAGGAGCCUGGCAAGCCCACGUUCCUGGUUUCCAUCUGCAGGGACGACGGGCGUUAACAUCAGCAGCUGUGGCCCCUGCGACCGUGGGGGGCGCUGUGGAAACCUUCCUGAGAAACCACUGAGGAGAAGCGUGUGUCUUAGGAAAACCGUGGAAGAGGCUGGUGGACGUGCCCAUGACCUUGGUGAUGGUGACAGUUCCAUGUAUGCAUGUGUCAAAGUGCACCUACCAUGUGCUGCUUCCUGUAUGUCGACCUCCCCUGGGCUGUGGGACACUCACACACGCAUUUGCAUGAUGAGAUGUCACACUGCUUGCACUCGAAUGGCUGAAGAACCAGGGUGUGGACGAGGAGCGGGUCAAUGGCCGCUUCUUCAGAGCCGCGUGGAGCAAACGUGGUCUGCCCCCAAGCUCCCAUUUUAAUCGCUGUGGCCUGGGCAGGGGGGGUUCUGUUUUCCUUCUCCUUACACCUUCCAAGGUAAUUCCAACACGCAGCCAGGAUUGAGAACUGCUGCUUGCGACCUCAGGAUCUAGACUUGCUGGGCUAACGUGACAGCAGGGUCUAUACCACUGGCUGCCUCUACUCCCCCCUCCCUGGGUCAGCAGGGUCUACACCACUGGCUGCUUCCACCCUCCAACCCCAGAAUCGCGUUCACCCAACAGUGAUGCAGUCUGUGGCUGGGACGGAGUCACCCAAACCGUGUUGGAUUUGUUCCUUCGCUCCAGAGAUGGGCCCCCACACCUGAGACUCAGCUUCCCCAUGACACACACAGUGCAGUGGCCCGCUGACACGCUCUCGCAGACACAAAGCCCCUGAGGACAGUGCUGGGCGUUUGCAACUUGCUUGGAAAUAUCAGCUGCCCAAGUGACUAAGGUAUUAAUAUUAAUAAGAGCAGGUUUGCCGAAGACGUCAUUGUUUUCAGGACACAAGCCAGAAAGGAAAUGGGAGACUGUAACUGUAGAGUUCAGGCUCAGAGAGGUUCCGCACACGGCCAGGACAGAGGCGGCGGAGAAACCAGCCGCCACAGAGAGCCGCGGUGGGUCUCACGGAGAGCGCGCCAAGGGACUCGGAGGACGGAGCACCAUCGCCUCGGGGCAGUGGACGUGACCGGUGAACACGGGCGUAAAUGAGUCAGAGGGCUUGUCAGCAGGAGUGAAAUACGGAAUAACAAGAGAACAAGCUGAUAAGAGGAACGUAACUCCGAGCACUGAGCAUACGAACAAAUGCAAAUGUUAUUAAAUGUUGGCUUUCAACGAAAUGAGGAAGUUUGAAUGGUCUGCCCCAUAAUUGCCUUUUUGUGACAAAGCCCAUGAGAACCCACGCGGGAAGAUAGGUGUAAAAUGAAGGUGUUACGGAAGGGCAGGGCCUGGCUGGUGCCACAGGGCCCACUUGCUCGUGGUGCCCCCCUGCCCCUCUCCCCGGGCGGGGCGCCGCCGGGUCCUGGGGCUGUCAGGCCACAUGGUGCUGCAGAGGUCAUCUUCCACCCAAAUAUUUGGAAAGUGUCUUUUAAGCGACUUAACCCAUUACAGAAUUUAAAGCCCGUAUGUGUCUAAUAAAAUUCAAAUGGACAGGUCACACUGUCUGGGAGCACCCCAGCUCUGGGGAGUGAAUGGAGGAACUUCUGUCUUUAACCCAGUGGCAUUCGGGUUAUUUUGAUCAUUAUUUUGUUGAGAUGGGGGACCACAACUCAAACCGGCCCUACCUCUAAGACCCCCAGCACGGGAAGGCUUAUGGUUUAACUCAUUUCCUAUCAGCAAGAUACAGCAGUGUUUAUGCUAUCGGGGAAUCCUCAGUAGCAGCUGAUGACGAUAAUGGUUUUCUUAGCAAGGAGGACAGACAAUAGCAGGAACUAGGCAUCGAACCGUGGAGUUCACCAAACAGACUUGUGCUUCACUUUCCUGUUGGAAGACUCUAGAGCCUUUCCUUAGAGGUCUGGAGACCGAGGUGAACACAGGACUGUAAUCGGCCCGGUGACGGCGUCCUGGUCAGCGUGCCGACCCUGUGUAGGGCAGUUAGGCUCCUGCCCAGGUGAGCUCUGGGCACAGCGUGGGCAAUCAUUAGCUUCGUGGGGAAGUUACGCGCUUCAUUUAAGAACAAAUGAACAACAGAAAGAAAAGCAAUAAAAAGCAAACAGGAGA